UACAGAGGGUGCAAGCGUUGCUCGGAUUUACUGGGCGUAAAGCGUACGCAGACGGCAAGGUCGGUCGAAUGUGAAAGCCCAGGGCUCAACCCUGGAAAUGCAUCCGAAACCUCCUUGCUCGAGUAUGAGAGAGGAAAGCGGAAUUCCUGGUGUAGAGGUGAAAUUCGUAGAUAUCAGGAGGAACAUCGGCGGCGAAGGCGGCUUUCUGGCUCAUUACUGACGUUCAGGUACGAAAGCGUGGGUAGCAAACAGG
rnacentral:rRNA from 1 species